rnacentral:rRNA from 1 species
GGUGUAGGUGGCCUGGUAAGUCAGAGGUGAAAGCUCGCAGCUUAACUGUGGAAUUGCCUUUGAUACUGUCAGGCUUGAAUCAGGCUGAGGUAGGCGGAAUGUGGCAUGUAGCGGUGAAAUGCUUAGAUAUGCCAUAGAACACCAAUUGCGAAGGCAGCUUACUAGACCUGAAUUGACGCUGAGGCACGAAAGCGUGGGGAGCGAACAGGAUUAGAUACCCUGGUAGUCC